rnacentral:misc_RNA from 1 species
GAUGAAGAACGUAGCAAAAUGCGAUAGGUAAUGUGAAUUGCAGAAUUCAGUGAAUCAUCGAAUCUUUGAACGCACAUUGCGCCCGCUGGUAUUCCGGCGGGCAUGCCUGUUCGAGCGUCAUUUCAACCCUCAAGCCCCCGGGUUUGGUGUUGGGGAUCGGCUCUGCCCUUCUGGGCGGUGCCGCCCCCGAAAUACAUUGGCGGUCUCGCUGCAGCCUCCAUUGCGUAGUAGCUAACACCUCGCAACUGGAACGCGGCGCGGCCAUGCCGUAAAACCCCAACUUCUGAAUGUUGACCUCGGAUCAGGUAGGAAUACCCGCUGAACUUAAGCAUAUCAAUAAGCGGAGGA